UUUGUGCCAUGAAAAAUGUAGCUUUUGUUAUUCUUUUGAGAUGCUCAGGGUAAGAGUAAGAGGAGGGCAAUUUCUAGGUCAAAUAAUAGAAAAGUAAUGUAAAUCAAGAAAAAUGAUA